rnacentral:lncRNA from 1 species
AGCUGGGCAAAGAACCAGGACAGAAAAUAGAACUUGAGGCAGGAAAGAGCUUGCAUAUGUGAGUCUCGGUGAAUCCAGCUGGGGAAGGUGGAGUAAAGCGAGGAGACAGCGGUACAAGCUCGAUGGAGACCCCUCUCACUGGGCUCUCUGGACCUGCGUCAUCAGAGGUGGCUGUAGCCCACACUUUUGCAGCAGAGCUUCUUGACGGAAGUAAUGGUGAUCUCCUUGCACACGCGCUCGUUGGUGUGGAAGUCGUCGCUCAGGCACGUGCAGUUCUCCUCAAUGAUAACCCGGGCCGACUUCGUCACGGUGCUGUGGGAACGCAGCCCACGUAGAGGAAGAAACUGGGGACUGGGAAAUGGAGUGGUCAUGAUUGCCGUUGGCCCUCAACUUCAAGGGUGUGAGUCAACUGCUAGGUGGAUUUUUUCAGUAGUAAACACCACAAUACCAUGUGGUCUGGUGUUGGUAGAGUCUGUGGGUGCUGCGCUGUGGAUACCAGGGCCUUCUAGAAUUUGCAUGCAGAGUUUUGACAGCAUGGGGGGUCGGCACCUCUAAGUUUGGCAGUGUUCAAAGGUCAACUGUAUACAUUUAAAAAACGUGUAGCAGCUCAUUUCAUUGUGCCCUUGAGCUGGAAAGGCUGCCGCAGCCCCUUGCCACCAGUCGUCCUGCACUGGUCAGCCUGAGAACGAGCCAGAGGGCACAGCAGGGUAUGAGGGCAUCGAGGGGCAUGUUUUUGCCUGUCUCUGCAGUUGGAGGGAACAGCUGUUUUGCAGUCGUGGCCAAUGAGAGGGGAAGUGGGCUGUGACCCGACCUGUUGGCAGGGAGUGCCCUACACUCCGGCACCCCGGCUGGUUCUCGAUAUUCUAGGGCCACCUGCGGCUGCUGGUGUUUCCAUUAGCCCAUAUGAGGCCAGAAGUGGCCUGGAGUAGAGGGAGAAGCUUGUGUAUGGGUUAUGAACACCUCUGAGAGGUGUGUGGGUGUCACAUUCUCCCCUCCUUUCAGUCUCAGGGGAGCCCAUCAUUAUUUCAGAAAUAAGGAAAUGUGGAGAAGGUUCAGAAUUUCAGAAAUAAGGAAAUGAGGAGAAGGUGCAGAAUUGGGGUUUUUAAGGGGGCCCUGUGCAAGGAGACUGGGCAUCUUGAGUGACUCCAAGUGGAUGUUCAAACCGACUGAAGGCUUGAAGAGGUGGGGACCAAAGCCGAGUGGGAUUCACCAGACCCUGUGGGUGGACCCUGAGCAGAACAUGGGCACUGGAGCAUCGCUGCACCGAGUCAUAGACCACCAGGCACUGCUCAGACCUCAGGCGCAGCCCACACCAAUGAUCAAAUUAUUUUGGAGGACUCAGAACAUUCAGGAAUCAUUGACA